CGCAGUAUCAGGCUUGUCGCCCACACCGCCAUUCAAUUCUACGACAUGCAGGACCGGCUUGGAUACGACCAGCCUAGCAAGGUCGUCGAUUGGCCGCGCAGGACACGCAGAACGUGAGCCUCAAUUUCUCGUUGGUGGAGGCUCCGAGUCCUUUGUUUACUAAUCGGCGAGGUACAAUGGUGGGUAGCAGCGGAGUGGCGAAGCUGGUGAAUAAGAACAGCUCGAAUUUUCUGCAGGUGAGGAUGGUGUUGAGGCCGAAGUUGUUAAUCUUUGUCUGCCUAAAAUUGCCUCUGAUCGAAGUUGGGCUAGAGGCCGAAGUUGUCGGCUAAACCGAUGAAGUUGCAGGUGAGGAUGGUGUGGAGG
rnacentral:lncRNA from 1 species